GGCAACGUGACUUUCUAGCGAGCCAGCAGCAGGAUCGAUACAAAAGUUUCUUUUACGUGUUGCACGCUCGUAGGCAUAUGUAUAACCUACGUAUACGUACGUCGUCCGUGUCGUGCCGUGCCCCGGCUGUUUCGUUGCGUUGCGUUGCGUUGCGUUACGCUUUUCCUCCGCCCAGCUGGCAAAGGGCUGCGAACGAGCCUCGGAUACGUACCCGGUCAGACGAUCGGUCGCUAACCGCUGUUAACCCUUUGGAAUCACCAGAAUUGUACCUUUGUCUUUAGUUUUGGGAACAGUUUUUCGUCUUCGUGCUCAUUCCAGUGUCGACGAUACGGCGACAUUAAAUUAUUAACGCUGCAAGGAAAAGCUUCCGAGCGCAAAGGGUUAAGUGGAAGCGGCUAGCUCAUUUCCAUCUGCGAUCAUUAUAGUUGAAACAUGAUUCUACGAAACACUAUGGCAGCCUGGAGGAGAGGUAAAUCAUCCCUCGGAUCGCACCCGCGCCAUCUUAGAGCGGGCUCCCGCGACGCAAUCAUCUCUCAACGUAUCGACGUUUUACGUUAUAUUUAAAAAUUCAUCUCUCCUUGGUUAUCGCCGGCUCUGUCCUGCAUCAUCGUUUCCACGUACGCUCUCGACCCACUUCACACUAAACGAGAUGCUUUUAAAAUAUCUCUGCGCGCGCUCCGCUCGCGAACGCCCGAUACUCAUCGAUUCAAUGAUAAAUUCACCGCUAUGUAUUUACAGAUGAGUCUGAAACGGCGAGACGGCACUGGUCGCCGAGAGUACAAUAAAUUCGCGAUCAUUCGGCGUUGUGUCUAUCGUUGUGUUGCAGCGAACCACCCCGAAGACGGAUAAAUCGCUGUUCUAAUUCAAUACUGAGAUAUUUAUAAAAAGAAGGAACGCGUGAUUUGAAGAUAUCCUAAUAUUUCAUAGAUAUUAAAUAUUUCAUACAAGAUAUUAAAAUAUCUAUAUUUAUAUA